GCCCUCUCACUCCCUUUCCCAUCAGAUCUAAAUAUACUGGUCUUGGUGGUCACAAGAGGAGGAAUAGUAAUACUGAAGCUGGCCUCACAGGGCUCAUAUGCUCCCAUGCAAGCACAUGAGCUAGUUUCAGACAAGG